AGAUUGAACGCUGGCGGCAUGCCUUACACAUGCAAGUCGAACGGCAGCACGGGAGCAAUCCUGGUGGCGAGUGGCGAACGGGUGAGUAAUAUAUCGGAACGUGCCCAGUCGUGGGGGAUAACGCAGCGAAAGCUGUGCUAAUACCGCAUACGAUCUAUGGAUGAAAGCGGGGGAUCGCAAGACCUCGCGCGAUUGGAGCGGCCGAUAUCAGAUUAGCUAGUUGGUGGGGUAAAAGCCUACCAAGGCGACGAUCUGUAGCUGGUCUGAGAGGACGACCAGCCACACUGGGACUGAGACACGGCCCAGACUCCUACGGGAGGCAGCAGUGGGGGAAUAUUGGACAAUGGGCGAAAGCCUGAUCCAGCAACGCCGCGUGAGGAUGACGGCCUUGGUGUAAACCUCUUUCAGCGCCGACGAAGCGAGAGUGACGGUAGCGCGAGAAGAAGCACCGGCCAACUACGUGCCCAGCACGACCG
rnacentral:rRNA from 1 species